AUUGAACGCUGGCGGCAGGCCUAACACAUGCAAGUCGAGCGGAUGAAGGGAGCUUGCUCCUGGAUUCAGCGGCGGACGGGUGAGUAAUGCCUAGGAAUCUGCCUGGUAGUGGGGGAUAACGUCCGGAAACGGGCGCUAAUACCGCAUACGUCCUGAGGGAGAAAGUGGGGGAUCUUCGGACCUCACGCUAUCAGAUGAGCCUAGGUCGGAUUAGCUAGUUGGUGGGGUAAAGGCCUACCAAGGCGACGAUCCGUAACUGGUCUGAGAGGAUGAUCAGUCACACUGGAACUGAGACACGGUCCAGACUCCUACGGGAGGCAGCAGUGGGGAAUAUUGGACAAAGGGUGAAAGCCUGAUCCAGCCAUGCCGCGUGUGUGAAGAAGGUCUUCGGAUUGUAAAGCACUUUAAGUUGGGAGGAAGGGCAGUAAGUUAAUACCUUGCUGUUUUGACGUUACCAACAGAAUAAGCACCGGCUAACUUCGUG
rnacentral:rRNA from 1 species